rnacentral:rRNA from 1 species
ACGUGUGUAGCCCCGGACGUAAGGGCCGUGCUGAUUUGACGUCAUCCCCACCUUCCUCACAUCUUACGACGGCAGUCUCUCUAGAGUCCUCAGCAUGACCUGUUAGUAACUAAAGAUAAGGGUUGCGCUCGUUAUGGCACUUAAGCCGACACCUCACGGCACGAGCUGACGACAACCAUGCAGCACCUUCACAUUUGCCUUGCGGCUAACCUGUUUCCAGAUUAUUCAAAUGCAAUUUAAGCCCGGGUAAGGUUCCUCGCGUAUCAUCGAAUUAAACCACAUGUUCCUCCGCUUGUGCGGGCCCCCGUCAAUUCCUUUGAGUUUCACCGUUGCCGGCGUACUCCCCAGGUGGAAUACUUAAUGCUUUCGCUUGGCCGCUUACUGUAUAUCGCAAACAGCGAGUAUUCAUCGUUUACUGUGUGGACUACCAGGGUAUCUAAUCCUGUUUGAUACCCACACUUUCGAGCAUCAGUGUCAGUUGCAGUCCAGUGAGCUGCCUUCGCAAUCGGAGUUCUUCGUGAUAUCUAAGCAUUUCACCGCUACACCACGAAUUCCGCCCACCUCUACUGUACUCAAGACAGCCAGUAUCAACUGCNAAUUUUACGGUUGAGCCGCAAACUUUCACAACUGACUUAACUGUCCACCUACGCUCCCUUUAAACCCAAUAAAUCCGGAUAACGCUCGGAUCCUCCGUAUUACCGCGGCUGCUGGCACGGAGUUAGCCGAUCCUUAUUCAUAUGGUACAUACAAAAUUCCACACGUGGAAAACUUUAUUCCCAUAUAAAAGAAGUUUACAACCCAUAGGGCAGUCAUCCUUCACGCUACUUGGCUGGUUCAGGCCUGCGCCCAUUGACCAAUAUUCCUCACUGCUGCCUCCCGUAGGAGUUUGGACCGUGUCUCAGUUCCAAUGUGGGGGACCUUCCUCUCAGAACCCCUAUCCAUCGAAGGUUUGGUGAGCCGUUACCUCACCAACUGCCUAAUGGAACGCAUCCCCAUCGAUAACCGAAAUUCUUUAAUAAUAAGACCAUGCGGUCUAAUUAUGCCAUCGGGUAUUAAUCUUUCUUUCGAAAGGCUAUCCCCGAGUUAUCGGCAGGUUGGAUACGUGUUACUCACCCGUGCGCCGGUCGCCAUCUCCAGUUUGCAAGCAAACUGAAAUGCUGCCCCUCGACUUGCAUGUGUUAAGCCUGUAG